GAUGAACGCUGGCGGCAUGCCUAACACAUGCAAGUCGAUCGGUAAGGCUCUUCGGAGUACACGAGAGGCGGACGGCUGAGUAACGCGUAGGAACACACCCUGCAGUGAGGGAUAAGACACCGAAAGGUGUUCUAAUACCGCAUACGGUCUUCGGAUUAAAGCAUUUAUGCGCUGAAGGAGUGGCCUGCGUCAUAUUAGAUAGUUGGUGAGGUAAUGGCUCACCAAGUCGAUGAUGUGUAGCUGGUCUGAGAGGAUGAUCAGCCAGACUGGAACUGAGACACGGUCCAGACUCCUACGGGAGGCAGCAGUGAGGAAUAUUUCACAAUGAGCGAAAGCUUGAUGGAGCAAUGCCGCGUGAAGGAUGAAGGCCCUCGGGUUGUAAACUGCUUUUAUAAGAGAAGAUUAUGACGGUAACUUAUGAAUAAGGGACGGCUAACUACGUG
rnacentral:rRNA from 1 species